CAUGGACAGGGACACCUUCCACUAGACCAGGCUUAAUUACCUAAAUCAUCAUUACCCAAAGUGGAUCAACACUCCUUCAAGGGAGCUCUUUGUGGCCAUAACAUGUAUCAAGAUGGUAGAGUGGUCAGGAAAAAAACAAACCUGAGAAAAUGGACAUCCCCAGCUUCACCUGGCUCUUUUCUCCAUGGAAGAAAACAAAAUAAUUUGAAAAGCCUCUCAGACCACCAUCUAAAGCAGGAUUGUUUUAGCAUC